AAUUCAAUAACUUAAGGAAAACUUGAAGAUUAAAAAAGUGCUGUUCACGGUUAAUCUGGAGUAUUGAGAUUUACAAUUUAUUGAAAGAACAACUGAAAAUCAAUUUAGGUUGCUUAUGUGUCAUGUGUGGAGAAGAACCCUCUAGCUAGUCCGUCAUUUAUCCUUUCAUUUUAAUUUCAUGGUUUUGUCAAUUCUGUAAUUUAAUUAAGUUUAAUUUACUUUUCAUCAAAACCAAACACCCAUCCAUUAUUAAAUUAUAUUAUUUAUUUAGUUUUCUUUAUUGUUAGUCUUUUAAUUUAAUUUCCAUCCAUUUCAGUUCCUAGUAUUUAAUUUAAUUGUUUUCAUUAUUUUGAGUCAUUUUAAGUGUGUUUCGAGUUAUUAGAGUUUUUCGCCUAUUUUUGUGUCCUUGAGUCUUAUUUAAUAUUUUUAAAUUAAUUUAGAAUAGAUUAGCAAUCCCUCCUAAUCCCCGGCCUAGAACGAUACCCUACUUACAUCUAUACUACAAUUGUCAAAAAGAGGGUUUAAUUUGUGUGUCAAGUAAUUUUCGCAUCAAGCUCUGAAGCUCUGAAACUCCGAAAGUCUCAAGCAUCCAGAUUCCCGAAGAAUCAAGAAAGCCUUCUUCUUUCUUCGUUCAUCGUUCUUCCAAGAUCAAGCCCCGACGGCCCCUUGGAUCAACAAUCCACCGAUUCAAGAUCAAGCCCCAACGGCCCUUGAAGAAAAUGCUCUUCGUUCUUCGUUCAUCGUUCUUCCAAGAUCAAGCCCCGACGGCCCUUGGA
rnacentral:lncRNA from 1 species